GACGAACGCUGGCGGCGUGCUUAACACAUGCAAGUCGAACGGUGAACGAGUGAUCUUGCUCCCUCCGGAUCAGUGGCGAACGGGUGAGUAACACGUGAUCAAUCUGCCCCGAACUCUUGGAUAAGCGUUGGAAACGACGUCUAAUACCGGAUACGACGCGGGAGGGCAUCCUCUCCGCGUGUAAAGAACUUCGGUUCGGGAUGAGCUCGCGGCCUAUCAGCUUGUUGUUGAGGUAACGGCUCACCAAGGCGACGACGGGUGGCCGGCCGGAGAGGGUGACCGGCCACACUGGGACUGAGACACGGCCAAGACUCCUACGGGAGGAAGAAGUGGGGAAUAUUGCACAAUGGGCGAAAGCCUGAUGAAGCAACGCCGCGGGAGGGACGACGGCCUUCGGGUUGUAAACCUCUUUUAGCAGGGAAGAAGCGAAAGUGACGGUACCUGCAGAAAAAGCACCGGCUAACUACGUG
rnacentral:rRNA from 1 species